AACGCGAAGAACCUUACCUGGUCUUGGCAUCCUAGGAACUCCCCAGAGAUGGGGAGGUGCCCUUCGGGGAGCCUAGAGACAGGUGCUGCAUGGCUGUCGUCAGCUCGUGUCGUGAGAUGUUGGGUUAAGUCCCGCAACGAGCGCAACCCUCGCCUUUAGUUGCCAUCAUUCAGUUGGGCACUCUAAAGGGACUGCCGGUGUUAAACCGGAGGAAGGUGGGGAUGACGUCAAGUCCUCAUGGCCUUUAUGACCAGGGCUACACACGUGCUACAAUGGCCGGUACAAAGCGCUGCCAAGUCGCGAGACGGAGCCAAUCGCAAAAAACCGGUCUCAGUUCGGAUUGAAGUCUGCAACUCGACUUCAUGAAGUCGGAAUCGCUAGUAAUCGCGGAUCAGCACGCCGCGGGAAUACGUCCCGGGUCUGACCACCAAGG
rnacentral:rRNA from 1 species